AUUGAACGCUGGCGGCAGGCCUAACACAUGCAAGUCGAACGGUAACAGGAAGCAGCUUGCUGCUUUGCUGACGAGUGGCGGACGGGUGAGUAAUGUCUGGGAAACUGCCCGAUGGAGGGGGAUAACUACUGGAAACGGUAGCUAAUACCGCAUAACGUCGCAAGACCAAAGAGGGGGACCUUAGGGCCUCUUGCCAUCGGAUGUGCCCAGAUGGGAUUAGCUAGUAGGUGGGGUAACGGCUCACCUAGGCGACGAUCCCUAGCUGGUCUGAGAGGAUGACCAGCCACACUGGAACUGAGACACGGUCCAGACUCCUACGGGAGGCAGCAGUGGGGAAUAUUGCACAAUGGGCGCAAGCCUGAUGCAGCCAUGCCGCGUGUAUGAAGAAGGCCUUCGGGUUGUAAAGUACUUUCAGCGGGGAGGAAGGGAGUAAAGUUAAUACCUUUGC
rnacentral:rRNA from 1 species